rnacentral:rRNA from 2 species
GGGGAAUAUUGCACAAUGGAGGAAACUCUGAUGCAGCGAUGCCGCGUGAGGGAAGAAGGUUUUAGGAUUGUAAACCUCUGUCUUCAGGGACGAAAAAAGGACGGUACCUGAGGAGGAAGCUCCGGCUAACUACGUGCCAGCAGCCGCGGUAAUACGUAGGGGGCGAGCGUUGUCCGGAAUUACUGGGUGUAAAGGGAGCGUAGGCGGGAUCGCAAGUCAGAUGUGAAAACUAUGGGCUUAACCCAUAAACUGCAUUUGAAACUGUGGUUCUUGAGUGAAGUAGAGGUAAGCGGAAUUCCUAGUGUAGCGGUGAAAUGCGUAGAUAUUAGGAGGAACACCAGUGGCGAAGGCGGCUUACUGGACGAUAACUGACGCUGAGGCUCGAAAGCGUGGGGAGCAAACAGGAUUAGAUACCCUGGUAGUCCAUGCCGUAAACGAUGAUUGCUAGGUGUGGGGGGACUGACCCCUUCCGUGCCGGAGUAAACACAAUAAGCAAUCCACCUGGGGAGUACGACCGCAAGGUUGAAACUCAAAGGAAUUGACGGGGGCCCGCACAAGCAGUGGAGUAUGUGGUUUAAUUCGAAGCAACGCGAAGAACCUUACCAGGUCUUGACAUCCGACUAACGAACUAGAGAUAGAUUAGGUGCCCUUCGGGGAAAGUCGAGACAGGUGGUGCAUGGUUGUCGUCAGCUCGUGUCGUGAGAUGUUGGGUUAAGUCCCGCAACGAGCGCAACCCUUGUCCUUAGUUGCUACGCAAGAGCACUCUAAGGAGACCGCCGUUGACAAAACGGAGGAAGGUGGGGACGACGUCAAAUCAUCAUGCCCCUUAUGACCUGGGCUACACACGUACUACAAUGGCCGUAAACAGAGGGAAGCAAGACCGCGAGGUGGAGCAAAACCCUAAAAACGGUCCCAGUUCAGAUUGCAGGCUGCAACUCGCCUGUAUGAAGUCGGAAUUGCUAGUAAUCGCGGAUCAGCAUGCCGCGGUGAAUACGUUCCCG